AUAUUAAACCAGGGAUUCUCAACAUUUGUUUAGUGAUGUACCACUUCUAUAAUAUUUAAUUAACACAAGUAGCUCUUUUCCAGCACAAAUCAAUUUUAGCUUUAUUUUUAAAUCGUAGAAGGCGAAAGAUAACAUUUAGAAACUCGUAAUAUAUUCCUUUAAAAUCUCGAGUACCCCAAGGAGCACGGGUAACCCCAUUUGAGAACCACUGUAUUAAAAGAUGAACAAAAAAGAACGAUAGUAGCAACCAAUUUUCCUUAUCUAAUUUCAAAAACUUUUUUUGGUUGGCUCUACGUUUUGCAUUUCCUUACCGUUAUAACCAAUAAAUCAACUAUUGUCAUUUUAUAAAUCCUUCUUCUAUUUAAUCAACUAACGUUUCAUUUUACUAUUAUCAGAAAGAAGUAAAAUUUGCAUCUUAUUUUGAUCAGAUAAUUAUGUACUAUAACCAUUUUUUAAUCGUAGAAGGCAAAAGAUAACAUUUAGAAAUCCCUUACUCCACAGCAAACACUUAAAAUAAUAUUUUUUUUUUCACUCUUAACACUUAACGACCCAUAAUUUUUGAUCAAAAAUUACACUACAUGAAAUAUUGCCCAACAUACAUAAGACUGUGAAUAGUUAGACAUCGUGAAUUUAAAAUAUACAAACUAAUUCUUAUUUUUUUGUAUCUGGUGUUACAUCAUUAAAUACUUGAGGUCCAACAAAUAAUACUCCUAAAAAAGGAUCUUAACAUUCUUACACCGAUUCAAAGUAACUUAAAAAGACACUCAGAAUUUGUGCAUAUCAUUUUGAGAGAAGCAACAAGAAGCUAAAAUCUAAUUAAUAUUUUCUAAAGGUGAUGAAAGGAGGACUUGAAAAAUAUUUACCAGGGUUCAAAGUAAACUCAUCGACAGUGUUAAGAAUCUGGGACCAAGUAAAAAACAUACCCUUCCACAGAUGUGAAGGGUUCCAUGAAGGAAACAUGGAAAUUAUCCCAUUCUUUUACUCACAUGGGCAUGGCUUAAAAAGAAAUGCUUUCUUUCCUUGCUUAAUGCUUCAUCCAAAAGAUCACCAGAGGCCCCCAUGUCUAGAAGACAAUCCUUGGUAAAUGUCAUUCGAUUCCCUGAGCCUCUCCAUAUCGCAUGAGACAAAUGUCGGACAUUCCAAACAUUGAUCAACAUCAUCUUGAUUGAUGAAGGACCAAAUAUAAGAUUGCUUGGAGCCAAGUCUUUUGAUUCCUCCUUCAGGAUUGAUGUUUUAAGGGCUCUUUAAAGGAAGAGACUAAAAGUAUCCUUUUAGCGUUCUUAAUAAGAGGGUAUAUUCCCUAGGUAUGCAACACUUUACUCUGAUCCAUAUGAGAAAUUAUGUGGACCCCUUGACUGGAGCUCAUACUCAUACUCUUUAGUCUUUGUGGAGUCGAGUCAAGGGCAUGAUGCGUAAGCUAGGUGUUUCCAAUACUUCAUUAAAUCUCUUUCCCACCUAUCUCCAGAGUAUAUAUGGCGAAAGAAAUUCUCAAAGGAUAGAGUUUUGAUCAAAUUUUGGAUCAUGUUAUUGAGCUAUAUCCACUGUAAGCGUCUGAGACUAAAGUGAUUGAAGACAAAAUACAGAUUAGUAACUAUUGCUUCUCUGAACCUCUGAUAAUCACACAAACAAAAUAAAGAUUUGAAUACUGGAUAAUUAAAAGGGGAAGUAUAUUGAAUGUUUAUCGGAAGUGAACUUAAGGAUAUUAUUGCUAUUAUGGAUAUAUAUUUUAAACAUCUUUACUUAUUUAAUUUAAAUAAUAUGAUAUAAAAAAAACUUUAAUAAAUA
rnacentral:lncRNA from 1 species